AUGCCACGCUCGCUCGCAGCACCCGGCUCGGCAACACCACCCCUGCAGGCAGCUACCCCUUGCAACACCCUGGUGCCUUCUCCCAUACAACACCGCCCCGCCAUGGGAGCUCGCUUCUGCAGCAGACUAACCUGCUGCAACGCCGUAUCACCGCCGGUUGUGGCUACGUCGUCGACUCCAGGCGUGGCAGCAGCCCCGAGCUCCCCCAAGAGCCGCACCAUGACGUUGCAUCAAGCCACCGGAGACGUCGCAUCCAGCUGCCGGCAAGCAUUACGAUGCAACACCGGGACCGUCGCGCGAGUGCUGCAUCGAAGCACGGGGGAGCCGGCGACGAGCGCUCCAUUGCGGCUCCGCCGCGGGCGAUGA
rnacentral:rRNA from 1 species